rnacentral:rRNA from 1 species
UACGUAGGGUGCGACGUUGUCCGGAAUUAUUGGGCGUAAAGGGCUCGUAGGCGGUUUGUCGCGUCGGGAGUGAAACUCGACUGCUUAACUACGUGGCUUGCUUUCGAUACGGGCAGACUGAGGAGUAUCAGGGGAGAACGGGAAUUCCUGGUGUAGCGGUGAAAUGCGCAGAUAUCAGGAGGAACACCGGUGGCGAAGGCGGUUCUCUGGGACACUGACCUG